rnacentral:lncRNA from 1 species
AGACCCACGACACGGACAAGGAGCACAAGUGCCCACACUGCGACAAGAAGUUCAACCAGGUAGGGAACCUGAAGGCCCACCUGAAGAUCCACAUCGCUGACGGGCCCCUCAAGUGCCGAGAGUGUGGGAAGCAGUUCACCACCUCAGGGAACCUGAAGCGGCACCUUCGGAUCCACAGCGGGGAGAAGCCCUACGUGUGCAUCCACUGCCAGCGACAGUUUGCAGACCCCGGCGCUCUGCAGCGGCACGUCCGCAUUCACACAGGUGAGAAGCCAUGCCAGUGUGUGAUGUGCGGUAAGGCCUUCACCCAGGCCAGCUCCCUCAUCGCCCACGUGCGCCAGCACACCGGGGAGAAGCCCUACGUCUGCGAGCGCUGCGGCAAGAGGUCCUGCCCCCUCCCCCACACCCACUGGCCAGACACCCCACAGUGAGGGGGCUCAGAAGACAAACUGGGGGCUUGGCUGGGGACUGAGCUGACUGCUGCCCACGCCCCAGGCUCUGGUCCUAGGGGUCCUUUUCAGUCUAGAGGGUGAGGCAGGAGGCC